rnacentral:rRNA from 1 species
GAUGAACGCUGGCGGCGCGCCUAAUACAUGCAAGUCGAGCGAAUGGAUUGAGAGCUUGCUCUUAUGAAGUUAGCGGCGGACGGGUGAGUAACACGUGGGUAACCUGCCCAUAAGACUGGGAUAACUCCGGGAAACCGGGGCUAAUACCGGAUAACAUUUUGAACCGCAUGGUUCGAAAUUGAAAGGCGGCUUCGGCUGCCACUUAUGGAUGGACCCGGGUCGCAUUAGCUAGUUGGUGAGGUAACGGCUCACCAAGGCAACGAUGCGUAGCCGACCUGAGAGGGUGAUCGGCCACACUGGGACUGAGACACGGCCCAGACUCCUACGGGAGGCAGCAGUAGGGAAUCUUCCGCAAUGGACGAAAGUCUGACGGAGCAACGCCGCGUGAGUGAUGAAGGCUUUCGGGUCGUAAAACUCUGUUGUUAGGGAAGAACAAGUGCUAGUUGAAUAAGCUGGCACCUUGACGGUACCUAACCAGAAAGCCACGGCUAACUACGUGCCAGCCGCCGCAGUAA